GCUCAACCGGGGAGGGUCAUUGGAAACUGGGGAACUUGAGUGCAGAAGAGGAGAGUGGAAUUCCACGUGUAGCGGUGAAAUGCGUAGAGAUGUGGAGGAACACCAGUGGCGAAGGCGACUCUCUGGUCUGUAACUGACGCUGAGGCGCGAAAGCGUGGGGAGCGAACAGGAUUAGAUACCCUGGUAGUCCACGCCGUAAACGAUGAGUGCUAAGUGUUAGAGGGUUUCCGCCCUUUAGUGCUGCAGCAAACGCAUUAAGCACUCCGCCUGGGGAGUACGGUCGCAAGACUGAAACUCAAAGGAAUUGACGGGGGCCCGCACAAGCGGUGGAGCAUGUGGUUUAAUUCGAAGCAACGCGAAGAACCUUACCAGGUCUUGACAUCCUCUGACAACCCUAGAGAUAGGGCUUCCCCUUCGGGGGCAGAGUGACAGGUGGUGCAUGGUUGUCGUCAGCUCGUGUCGUGAGAUGUUGGGUUAAGUCCCGCAACGAGCGCAACCCUUGAUCUUAGUUGCCAGCAUUCAGGUGGGCACUCUAAGGUGACUGCCGGUGACAAACCGGAGGAAGGUGGGGAUGACGUCAAAUCAUCAUGCCCCUUAUGACCUGGGCUACACACGUGCUACAAUGGGCAGAACAAAG
rnacentral:rRNA from 1 species